AAGGGGAAUGCAGGAUGAGAAAAGAAGAGGGCGUAUCACUUCACCUCACUUCACCUCACAUCCUGGCCCCAUACUUCCCCCAUCUCCUUCUACUCCUACAAAUGCAUCGCAAUUCACCCACCCGUGCCCCUGGAUAAUAGCUUUCGGGACGCGACCAGUGAACUCAGGACGUUAGACGGGAACUGCACUAACGGCAGGAUGGAACCAAACGAAAAUCGCCUGACACUGUGUGCAGUGAACUCCCGAACCAAGCAGCAGGCCCGAGUCUUCAAAUUACAUUUUCGUGGUAAAACAUGUGAUAAAUAAAAGACAGUUCGGAUUGUAGCCCAAUUAUGCGGCAGGCGUAAAGUAAAAGUAGGCAUUCUCUCACUGUGUUUCUGCCUAUUGCAUUGUGAUGCCAGGUAUUGUUUUCCCAAAGAAAGCUGUGCAUUUUAUUUGGAUUCAUGUAAUAUGAUACCAUACAUUGAUUAAAAGCAACGGAGAGUAUAAUCAUGAAUAUAUAUUUAUUUUGAGCCUUUGGGCUGCGUCGGAAAUAAUGAAUGGACAUAUAUUUUAGUUUAAUCUAGGUCGAAACCUUUAAAAAUAAUUUAAAUGGAUGCCAGAAAUUUAAGAUACGUGGACCCUUUUGAUGUAGUAUUGUAUUUUGCAGGUCGACUUUGGAGUUUCACAAUUUUAAAAAAAACGUGAUGUCUGAGGACAAAAGAAUUUUACCUUUGACCUUCAAUGAAAAGAAAUCGUGACAGCGAAGUGGACUUCAUGGCAUUUCAUUUCGCCCAGUGUCGCGGGGAACGCGGGGACUGACACCCGGUAUUGGAUGUAUCGGUCACCGCUUGCAUUUUUCCAAACACGAUGACACUUUCUUUUUAAUGUUAAGAAUUUAAGACGCUGGGUAUUUGUUGCUUGUAUUUAAUGCUCGAGUGCGAUGUAAGUUAGUUUUGUACAUAUGGUCAAAUAAAGCUGGGAAGUCGGGCCUGGGAUUUAUAACCAGGAUUGGUAAUGAUCAGGAUCGCUGUAUCGGUUUGCGUUGGAAGAACACGACCAUUUGUAUUUGGACGAAAAACUGGCGCUUUUGUAAUUGUAACUAAAGUGAAGUAUGCGCGACCCGAAUAAAGUACCAUUGCCUAUUAAAAUUAAUGAAUAUGCAGUCGGCAAUACCAGA